GACGAACGCUGGCGGCGUGCUUAACACAUGCAAGUCGAACGAUGAUGCCCAGCUUGCUGGGUGGAUUAGUGGCGAACGGGUGAGUAACACGUGAGUAACCUGCCCCUGACUCUGGGAUAAGCGUUGGAAACGACGUCUAAUACUGGAUAUGAUCACUGGCCGCAUGGUCUGGUGGUGGAAAGAUUUUUUGGUUGGGGAUGGACUCGCGGCCUAUCAGCUUGUUGGUGAGGUAAUGGCUCACCAAGGCGACGACGGGUAGCCGGCCUGAGAGGGUGACCGGCCACACUGGGACUGAGACACGGCCCAGACUCCUACGGGAGGCAGCAGUGGGGAAUAUUGCACAAUGGGCGAAAGCCUGAUGCAGCAACGCCGCGUGAGGGAUGACGGCCUUCGGGUUGUAAACCUCUUUUAGUUGGGAAGAAGGGAGCUUGCUCUUGACGGUACCAGCAGAAAAAGCACCGGCUAACUACGUGCCAGCCGCCGCCGUAAAAC
rnacentral:rRNA from 1 species